AAAGGCAUUCUUCAAAUAGCCUGACAACUUAUUUAUUUCAACAACACUGCACCACUGUGCCUUUCCAAUGAAGGAGGUUGAGCCAGGGCUAGAAAGAGCAAAAGCAGAACGUGGUGGUUGAUGGCAGAAACAAGCAAAAUAAAGAUGGAAGUUAGAGGGAAGCCAGAGUGGAGGUUCUGCUUCAGUGGCAGAUUGCAGAGCCCAUAUGAUGCAUGGGCUCAAAUAGAGGACUUCAAUAGAGACAGUGGCUGAAUUCACACAUGUGAAACCAGAGGUUGCUGAACCCGUGGUUAAUUUUUGUAGCCGUGAAUUGCAUUGCAGACAUUCAUCCAGCCACAGCCUGGCAACCUCUGGUUUGAAGGAAGGGGAGCCACUCCCUCUUCCUGGUCUGCCAAAUCCACAUCCCAGCAAGCUCUGUAGUGUUCACGUCACCAGACUAUAUGUGCAAGGCAUCAGAAUGUCUGCAGGGCAGCAGCCAUGGGCCACGAUCUCCAAGGGGGCAUGCCAAGCAUCAUCACGCCUUUUCAGAAUGAACGGACUGCCCACCCUUGGCAAGGAAAGGGUAUUUAAAUCCCUGUAAAUGAAUUCAAGCCCUUCUCCUGGCAGCAAAUGCAUCAUCGCCCUCAUAAGAGCCUUGCACCAAAACAGUCUCACACAAGCACAAUUUCUGGCGAACUUAUUCUGAAGCUUCUCAAAGUUAAAAGAAAUUUGAAAUGCAUGCAGAGAGAAGAUGGUGUUGUGUGAAAGAGAAAACCUGAACUCUCACUAGGUACAUAGAUCUAGUCACAUGCUUUGCUAGAUUGUGGCUUAUUGUGGCUCUACAUGUAUUUUUACUACUUUGUAAAUGUAGGUGUCAGUAGCUAAAAAUACACAAAGUGAUGUACAAUUUGAAAACAAAAACAAACAACCAAUAGCGCUUACAUAAUUAAACACUAAAAAUAUGGACAGCUGCAGAGAGUCUUACAUAAAAUCCAUAAAUUCCAUCCUACUUUUCUUCCACAUUUUAGGAAACUCAAAAUGGCCAAGAUAAGAGAGAUUCAAUACAAUAUUAAAGCAAAAUAAUGUGUUUAUAAAAUCAAUAAAUCAUUCUCCAAAGGCUGUUUAAAAGAGCCAGGUUUUCACUUGCCACCAGAAAACCAGUAGUGAUGCAUAUGAAUUUCCCUAGACAUUCUAGAGGUUGCCAAAAUCCCAAAUGUCCUGCUUUUGAUAUUCAUCUGCCAAACAACCUCAGUUGGUGGAUAGAGGGGAGACCUAGAGCAGGAUUUCAGGUGCUGGACAGGAUACAUGGGAGGGCACACAGGGGAUGUUGCUAGCACUGCUAUUCUAUGGGCUCCCAGAAGUCAUAGGAACAUAGGAAGCUGCCAUAUACCAAGUCAGACCAUUGGUCUAUCUAGCUCAGUAUUGUCUUCACAGACUGGCAGCAGCUUCUCCAAGGUUGCAGGCAGAAAUCUCUCUCAGCCCUAUCUUGGAGAAGCCAGGGAGGGAACUUGAAACCUUCUGCUUAUGUCUCUCUGCUUAUGUCUGAGACCACGGUUUGUGGUUCUUAACACACUCAGGAGUAUCUUGGGAUCAUGGGCGCCCCAUUUUUUGGCAUAUUAAGGACAAGUCACUUAGCAGGCAGUGGGACGGUCACCCCCGGAUUCACCAGCUACCAAGCAAAUUGAAACGGGAUUUGCCUCACACCUUUCCCUAUAUUAGGGAAUGUCUAGGUAGACUGUGGAAUUAACUUUCAAGUUAGCCUCCUCAAGGUCUUUCUGUCCAAAGACUGACCCUUUAUUUCCCCUCCUCUGCAGUUGCCUCAAAGAAGUUAACGUUAAUCACUUCAGCAGGAAAGUCAGCUAUGGCACCAUCAAUGCAACUCCCUUCCCAUCUCAAAAUAGCUGAGUGGGCAAUAGGAACUCAAGAGGUGUGCUCAUUAAAAAUACUGAUUAGUUUACCAGGUCCUUCUGACCUGAGAGAUACCAUGCUUGCACAUCCAUUCAGUCCAUUUACCUGUUCCUGACCCACCAUGGUAUUGUACCUUCAGCACAGCAAACAGAUAAUGGAUCUCUUUGAGAUUCACCAGAAUUGCCCUUCCCAGGAAAGAAGAGCAAUUGGAAUGUUGCCUCAAGACACAUUAUGGGCUAUAAUUGCCCCGGUUUCUUAAACCAGUGUGCUUCAAUUGGUCUUUACACCUUGGAGUCACCCGCAGUUUGGACCCUAAACUUGGCACCCACCAUAACACCUGGCCGUGUCUUGUUCUGCAUGCCAUUCACACUUCCAGCCUCCAGAUCAGUCUUCUUUGCUGGCCCAAUCUAUCCAGCUCACCUUGCUGCUACUCAAAACCGGCUGCACGAAAACAGACACCUUUUGGAUUUACUCUUGCUACCUAACUCCUGAGCUGUUUUUGGUUCUUCAUUGCCUGGUUCCAUCCCUGAGGAAAGAGGUUCUUUGGUUGUGCCAGAGUCACAAGGGCCCAAUCGCCAGUAAAGGAAGGAUGAGGUUGUAUGAUAAUCACUGUGCUCCUCUAGGCUUUUCCUAUCCCUGCUCUUUUCUUAUAUCCAAAAACCUGUUUCUCUCAAGCCUUCAUUUCUGUAGUCAGCCUGGAAGUCAUUUUAAUUCAGACACUAAACUAAAUUGCCUCUUUGCAGUUAUCUGGUUAAUCUUUGUAACAUGUUUUAGAAGUAAUAUUGCUUUACUCAACUUUCUUAUUCCACUGUACCCCUGAACCCCAAA